rnacentral:lncRNA from 1 species
GGGAGUUCUCCUUGGAUCUGGAUAUACACAGGAACAAUCUCAGUGGGCCUCAGAUAAAAACCUAGCCACAAAAUGAUGCUUGCUAAGAGAGCCCAAAAAGGCUAAGGUGAUUCUUCCCUUAACCCCCUUUAUCAGUCAAGACACCAGUGCUCCAUGAAUUGGUCAAAACAAGAAUGAAAUCAAGAGAUGAAGUCAGUCCCCAUCAUGGUAGCCCAGGCACAGACUCUUUAGGCAAAAGACCAGCCAAGGCAAAUAUUGACAUCUAAAAAUGGACCAGUAGUUUCUGAAAAAUGUUUGUGAGACACUGUGAGCGCUCUUCUUCCAACCUUCUCAUUCCAAAAAUUCAGAGAUCACUUUUCCUAUACCACAGUGUUGAAUCAUUUUUCAAUCAAUCCACUUACUCAUCUGGAAAAGGGGACAGGAAUCCCAUCCCAUGUAG